AGAGGGUGCAAGCGUUAAUCGGACUUACUGGGCGUAAAGGGCAAGUAGGUGGAUGCUUAAGUCGGAUGUGAAAUGUUUAGGCUUAACCUAGAUUGGUCAUUCGAUACUGAGUGUCUAGAGUACGGUAGAGGGUAGUGAAAUUUCCGGUGUAGCGGUGAAAUGCGUAGAUAUCGGAAGGAACACCAGUGGCGAAGGCGGCUACCUGGACUGAUACUGACACUGAAUUGCGAAAGCGUGGGGAGCGAACAGGGAUUAGAUACCCUGGUAGUCCACGCUGUAAACGAUGACAACUAACUGUUGGGGCUGAAGAGGGCCCUUAGUGGUGCAGCAAACGCGCUAAGUUGUCCGCCUGGGAUUACGGCCGCAAGGUUA
rnacentral:rRNA from 1 species